GUGGGUAUGGUGAAACUGGUAAACACACUAUUUUUAGAAAGUAGCGCCUAAAGCUUGUGGGUUCAACUCCCACUACCCACA
rnacentral:tRNA from 1 species